UACAGAGGGUGCAAGCGUUGCUCGGAAUUAUUGGGCGUAAAGGGUAGGUAGGUGGUCUCAUUUGUCCGGGGUGAAAGCCUUGAGCUUAACUCAAGAAGUGCCCCGGAAACGGUGAGACUAGAGUCUUGGAGAGGGUCGUGGAAUUCCCGGUGUAGCGGUGAAAUGCGUAGAGAUCGGGAGGAACACCAGAGGCGAAGGCGGCGACCUGGACAAGUACUGACACUCAACUACGAAAGCGUGGGGAGCAAACAGG
rnacentral:rRNA from 1 species